AUUGAACGCUGGCGGCAGGCCUAACACAUGCAAGUCGAACGAGUGGCGGACGGGUGAGUAAUGUCUGGGAAUCUGCCUGAUGGAGGGGGAUAACUACUGGAAACGGUAGCUAAUACCGCAUACCAUCGGAUGUGCCCAGAUGGGAUUAGCUUGUAGGUGGGGUAAAGGCUCACCUAGGCCACGAUGCCUAGCUGGCCUGAGAGGAUGACCGGCCACACUGGAACUGAGACACGGCCCAGACUCCUACGGGAGGCAGCAGUGGGGAAUAUUGCACAAUGGGCGAAAGCCUGACGCAGCAAUGCCGCGUGUAUGAAGAAGGCUUUCGGGUCGUAAAGCACUGUCAUCGGGGAGGCGUUAUCCGCCCAAGAAGCAACGGCUAACUCCGUGCCAGCAGCCGCGGUAAUUC
rnacentral:rRNA from 1 species